GGGGAUAUGGCGGAAUCGGUAGACGCAACGGACUUAAAAUCCGUUGGUUCAUUGAACCGUGAGAGUUCAAGUCUCUCUAUCCCCA
rnacentral:tRNA from 4 species